CAAACGUUACCCAUUCACGCUCCCGAACGGGACGGUCAUCCAAACCACGCGAGUCGAGCUGGCUUACAACGAAGGAUUACAGCAAGGAAGGGUUAGGGGGUACAAGGACGGAUAUGCGGACGGCAAAGCAGGC
rnacentral:ribozyme from 1 species